AAAGAUCAAGAGCUAUAAAAUAUCCAUGUUUCUCCCUAAUCGUUACACUAAUUAUGGGUAUAGGGAAACGACAGAGAACCAUCACAGUAAUGAUAAUACACAAAUGCACCAUCCUUCCCAGACUCAUUCCCCUCCUGAAGCAAUCACGGAGGACGAGCCUGUAGACCAUUCGUCAGAAAGCGAGGGCUUUCUAUCAUACAUAUAUUGGAUAGGCAACAGUGCGUGGACGUGUGCAACUAGCCUGCGUACAGGCUGUCUGAGGGUGAGGGACAGCCUGCAACCAUCACCCCAUGUUUUCGAUUUUCGCCGGCCGAACCGCCGGCUAAAUUCCCAUUGGCUAGCUGAGGCGAUCGGAGAAUUCUAAUUAAUUCUCUAAUUAUAAAUACGUAAUGAUUGGUUGGUUUUUGACAUGUUUAGUAAUAUUUAAAAGUGGGCGUAUUUAAAAACAUGGGGUGAUGGUUGCAGGCUGUCCCUCACCCUCAGACAGCCUGUACGCAGGCUAGUGUGCAACAAGCGUUUACAAUGCGG